ACUCGCCUCUUUUCCAUCUGUCUUUUUUCUUUCUCCAGCAUGCUGUUGGAAGGGGAAUUCAGAAGGCAUUUGGCUGAGGGGUACUUGGAAAGGGCAAAACCCAAACCACAGUGGUGACCAGGUGCUUAGUGGCAGCCCCAGCUGCAGAUAUGGUGAGAAAUAGCCAAGGAGGGGACUCUCCAUGACCACAGAAGAUGGAAUGUGCACUAGGGACCUGGCAUUCACUGUCAGGACAAUCCAGCCAGGGUGACAGGUGGCGCUGCAAGAGGAGGAAGGCGUAGAAGGCUGGUGCACAGGCCAGGGAAGCAACUCAGGCAUCUUUGGGGAGUAGAAAAAGUGGAGAAAAGACUGAACUGACCGCUAUUCUGGAUGAGAAGGACUACGACUGUAUAUGUACCUCGAGAUUUUACCAGUCAAUGUUUUCUUGCACCAAGGCAAAGAUGUGUAUAACAUCGAAGCAGACGAUGUCUUCUUAUUUAGUAUGUUACCAACUUUUGAAACCCUGUGCCCUUUAAUAAAC